GGCUGCUUAGCUCAGUUGGCUAGAGCGUUGCAUUCACAUUGCAAAGGUCGGGGGUCCGAGCCCCUCAGCAGCCA
rnacentral:tRNA from 5 species